rnacentral:misc_RNA from 1 species
AUGCGAUAACUAAUGUGAAUUGCAGAAUUCAGUGAAUCAUCGAGUCUUUGAACGCACAUUGCGCCCCCUGGUAUUCCGGGGGGCAUGCCUGUCCGAGCGUCAUUGCUGCCCUCAAGCCCGGCUUGUGUGUUGGGCCCUCGUCCCCCGGCUCCCGGGGGACGGGCCCGAAAGGCAGCGGCGGCACCGCGUCCGGUCCUCGAGCGUAUGGGGCUUCGUCUUCCGCUCUGUAGGCCCGGCCGGCGCCCGCCGACGCAUUUUUUGUGCAACUUGUUUUUUUCCAGGUUGACCUCGGAUCAGGUAGGGAUACCCGCUGAACUUAA